GAUGCAUGGGCGCAGCCUGAUGCAGCCAUGCCGCGUGUGUGAAGAAGGCCUUAGGGUUGUAAAGCACUUUCAGCGAGGAGGAAGGCAUCACACUUAAUACGUGUGGUGAUUGACGUUACUCGCAGAAGAAGCACCGGCUAACUCCGUGCCAGCAGCCGCGGUAAUACGA
rnacentral:rRNA from 1 species